UAUGUUUUUCACAUCACACCCGUCGGUAUGUCUAUAGAAUGUAUUGAGAACGUCGACCUGUCUGACAGGCUGGCGGUCCAUAAUGAAAUCAUACAACUUUCAGCAACGGAUCUCUUGGCUCUCGCAUCGAUGAAGAACGCAGCGAAUUGCGAUAAGUAAUGUGAAUUGCAGAUUUUCAGUGAAUCAUCGAAUCUUUGAACGCACCUUGCGCUCCUUGGUAUUCCGAGGAGCAUGCCUGUUUGAGUGUCAUU
rnacentral:rRNA from 1 species